rnacentral:misc_RNA from 1 species
AAGUCGUAACAAGGUUUCCGUAGGUGAACCUGCGGAAUGAUCAUUACAUUCAGUAGCCUAGCUACUUGUUUAUACCCUUGUUUUUUGCGUACCUAUUGUUUCCUCGGCGGGCUUGCUCGCCGGUUGGACAAAACUAUAACCUUUUUUAAAUCUUCAAUCAGCGUCUGAAUUAUACAUAAUAAUUACAACUUUCAACAACGGAUCUCUUGGUUCUG